CGUAGCCCAUCCAGUUACAAUCGGCUAUGCUCACCGGUACAAACAUGCAGGCCCAAGCCCCUAGCGAAGCUUAUCAACUGGGGUCGCCGCUUGACAGCAGGAGCAAAAUCACUAUGUUCCGCGAAACCCGGGUUGGGUUACAUCCCUGUGGGCGAGGAUCCUAUUCAGGAAAAAUCGGUGAAAGUGCCAAAGGGACAUUUGGCGAUCUAUGUGGGGCAAAAGGAUGGCGAUUUCCACAGAAUUUUGGUGCCCGUGAU
rnacentral:misc_RNA from 1 species